rnacentral:ncRNA from 1 species
GAGUGAGGACGACCUCACCGCUCUUCCGAGCGACUCCUGACGGGGACGGCCCCA